CUUUGGGAGAGAUGCUAAUGAUGGGCUUCAUGCCCCUUGUGGCUUAGUGGCAUAGCACCAUGAAACAAAAUGCUCUAGUAAGGCUCCUAUGGUAGGUAGGUAUAUGCAGCUGGAUAUCCUUCUAUAGCUAAAGAGUGGAGCUUUAGCGCAUUGGUGCUUAACCAGAAGGCCAUGGCCGUACGUGGAGCGUGCAGUAGUUAGCUGUAAUGAUACAGGGAGGACCGCUUGCACGCUCUAUGUGGUG